CAUGCCGUAAACGUUGGGUGCUAGACGUGGGGGCCUUUCCACGGUUUCCGUGUCGUAGCUAACGCAUUAAGCACCCCGCCUGGGGAGUACGGCCGCAAGGCUAAAACUCAAAGGAAUUGACGGGGGCCCGCACAAGCGGUGGAGUAUGUGGUUUAAUUCGACGCAACGCGAAGAACCUUACCAAGGCUUGACAUUGAGUGAAAGGCUAAGAGAUUAGCCCCUCUCUUCGGAGACACGAAAACAGGUGG
rnacentral:rRNA from 1 species